UACGGGGGGAGCAAGCGUUGUUCGGAUUUACUGGGCGUAAAGGGCGCGUAGGCCGCCACCGCAAGUCGACUGUGAAAUCUCCGGGCUUAACCCGGAACGGUCAGCCGAUACUGCGGGGCUAGAGUGCAGAAGGGGCAACUGGAAUUCUCGGUGUAGCGGUGAAAUGCGUAGAUAUCGAGAGGAACACCUGCGGCGAAGGCGGGUUGCUGGGCUGACACUGACGCUGAGGCGCGAAAGCUAGGGGAGCAAACAGG
rnacentral:rRNA from 1 species